AUCAACGCUGGCGGCGUGCCCCAGACAUGCAAGUCGAACGCGAAAGUCCCCUUCGGGGGAUAAGUAGAGUGGCGCACGGGUGAGUAACACGUAGGUAAUCUACCUUCGGGUGGGGAAUAACCCAGGGGAACUUGGGCUAACACCGCAUAAUGCAGCGGCACCACAUGGUGACAGUUGUUAAAGCGGGGGAUUUUCGAACCUCGCGCCUGAAGAGGAGCCUGCGGCAGAUUAGCUAGUUGGUAGGGUAACGGCUUACCAAGGCGACGAUCUGUAGCCGGCCUGAGAGGGCGGUCGGCCACACUGACACUGACAUACGGGUCAGACUCCUACGGGAGGCAGCAGUCGGGAAUUUUGGGCAAUGGGCGAAAGCCUGACCCAGCAACGCCGCGUGAAGGAUGAAAUCCCUCGGGAUGUAAACUUCGCAAGAAUGGGAAGAAUUAGUAGGGGCUAAUACCCUCUAUGAUGACGGUACCAUUUGUAAGCUCCGGCUAACUCCGUGCCAGCAGCCGCGGUAAUACGGGGGGAGCAAGCGUUGUUCGGAUUUACUGGGCGUAAAGGGCGCGUAGGCGGUCAGCACAAGUCAGUUGUGAAAUCUCCGGGCUUAACUCGGAAAGGUCAACUGAUACUGUGCGACUAGAGUGCGGAAGGGGCAACUGGAAUUCUCGGUGUAGCGGUGAAAUGCGUAGAUAUCGAGAGGAACACCUGCGGCGAAGGCGGGUUGCUGGGCCGACACUAACGCUGAUGCGCGAAAGCCAGGGGAGCGAACGGGAUUAGAUACCCCGGUAGUCCUGGCCUUAAACGAUGGAUGCUUGGUGUCUGGAGUUUUAUAGUCUCCGGGUGCCGUAGCUAACGCGUUAAGCAUCCCGCCUGGGGAGUAGCGGUCGCAAGACUGAAACUCAAAGGAAUUGACGGGGGCCCGCACAAGCGGUGGAGCAUGUGGUUCAAUUCGAAGCAACGCGAAGAACCUUACCAACUUUUGACAUGUCCCGUAUGGGCUUCAGAGAUGAGGUCCUUCAGUUCGGCUGGCGGGAACACAGGUGCUGCAUGGCUGUCGUCAGCUCGUGUCGUGAGAUGUUGGGUUAAGUCCCGCAACGAGCGCAACCCUCGCCCUUAGUUGCCAUCAUUUAGUUGGGCACUCUAAGGGGACUGCCGGUGAUAAGCCGGAGGAAGGUGGGGAUGACGUCAAGUCCUCAUGGCCCUUACAGGUUGGGCUACACACGUGCUACAAUGGCGGUGACAGAGGGAUGCAAAGGAGCGAUCCUUCGCAAAUCUCAAAAAGCCGUCUCAGUUCGGAUUGGGGUCUGCAACUCGACCCCAUGAAGUUGGAAUUGCUAGUAAUCGCAGAUCAGCACGCUGCGGUGAAUACGUUCCCGGGCCUUGUACACACCGCCCGUCACACCAUGGGAGUUGGCUUUACCUGAAGACGGUGCGCUAACCGCAAGGAAGCAGCCGGCCACGGUAGGGUCAGCGACUGGGGUG
rnacentral:rRNA from 1 species